UCGGGAAUUUUGGGCAAUGGGCGAAAGCCUGACCCAGCAACGCCGCGUGAAGGAUGAAAUCCCUCGGGAUGUAAACUUCGCAAGAACAGGAAGAAUAAGUAGGGGACAAUACCCCCUAUGAUGACGGUACUGUUUGUAAGCUCCGGCUAACUCCGUGCCAGCAGCCGCGGUAAUACGGGGGGAGCAAGCGUUGUUCGGAUUUACUGGGCGUAAAGGGCGCGUAGGCGGCCACCGCAAGUCGGUUGUGAAAUCUCCGGGCUUAACCCGGAAAGGUCAACCGAUACUGCGGGGCUAGAGUGCAGAAGGGGCAACUGGAAUUCUCGGUGUAGCGGUGAAACGCGUAGAUAUCGAGAGGAACACCUGCGGCGAAGGCGGGUUGCUGGGCUGACACUGACGCUGUAGCGCGAAAGCUAGGGGAGCGAACGGGAUUAGAUACCCCGGUAGUCCUAGCCUUAAACGAUGAAUGCUUGGUGUCUGGGGUUUUAUAGGUCCCCGGGUGCCGUCGCUAACGCUUUAA
rnacentral:rRNA from 1 species